ACAAUCACAGUGCCUGUACAUGUCAUAAUAAGGUCAUUCUAACACUACAAUGUACACCAGUACCCAAACUGGAUCAUUCAUUUAAAAAAAAAUUCAUUCCAGAAGACAUAGUUUUUGUGGUCUUAAUAGCUAAAUUGUCCUGGGACACUCCAAAUGUGAUUUCUUUGUCCCGAGGCCAGUAGAAGGUUCCAUGUAGGUGAAAAUGGAUGUUUGGCUAGUUGAAGAGAAAUGGAAAUGAGUUCUGCAAGCUGACUUACUCAGUGGAAAUGGGGAGACACAUUACACCUUAUAGAGAAGCAGUUUCUGAGAGUCAGAGCUGGCUGGAGAAGAACUGCAUGGUCCCUGUCACUGGAGGUAUCUGUGAAUAAACUAGAUAAGCACUUUGGCUCACUUAGUUAAGCCUUGGUUUCUUUAACUGGAAAAUGGUAGUAAUAAGUAUCUCCCUUGGAGGUCACUGUGAA